CUUACCAUGUGCUGAGGAUCCACUGGGCUCCGAGCCAGACGGAUGGGUUAAUACACGGGCGUGGGGGUGGGGUGGGGUGGGGAGGACAUUAGGGACCAAGACCUCGGUGAGGCCCCAGAAAGCUCACAGGAGGGGCCUCGGAUCGUGCCUGGGGAGGGACGGGGGAGGGAAGGAUUCCUGGAAGGAGGAGGACCUAAGUUGAGUGUUUCUAUUUUUAACUUUUUUAUUGGGUUCCUGAAACAUAAAAGU
rfam:Myotis brandtii contig167002, whole genome shotgun sequence.